AUUUGCAGGAUCGUGUCAUCAUUGGAGACUUCAAUGGGUCCUUCAAUGUAGAGUUGGAGUCGUGAGUCCAAUGCAGCCAGAUGAUGUCCUUUUGGCUGCAGGUACUCGGGUCGUAGUUGAUGGGGGUCGUAGACGUGCAUUUGGGAUAUUAUGACCGAAGCUUGCCGCGAUGGUCGUAAUUGCGGGACCAUGGGCGUCCUCAGUUUUAUAGGUUUUGUUGUGGCUUGUGACGCAUGUGUCACUCGUUAUUGUAUAAAGCCAUUCUGUUAUGUAUUUAUAUUGUGGAAAGACUUAAACACAUAGAUAUUAAAUGGCUCUUGUUGUUAUUAAUUUAUGAUAGAUGUUUAAGAUUUGAUUUCCGCUA